rnacentral:rRNA from 1 species
AUGCAAGUCGAGGGGCAGCAUUUUAGUUUGCUUGCAAACUGAAGAUGGCGACCCGGCGCACGGGUGAGUAACACGUAUCCAACCUGCCGAUAACUCCGGAAUAGCCUUUCGAAAGAAAGAUUAAUACCGGAUAGCAUACGAAUAUCGCAUGAUAUUUUUAUUAAAGAAUUUCGGUUAUCGAUGGGGAUGCGUUCCAUUAGUUUGUUGGCGGGGUAACGGCCCACCAAGACUACGAUGGAUAGGGGUUCUGAGAGGAAGGUCCCCCACAUUGGAACUGAGACACGGUCCAAACUCCUACGGGAGGCAGCAGUGAGGAAUAUUGGUCAAUGGGCGAGAGCCUGAACCAGCCAAGUAGCGUGAAGGAUGAAGGCUCUAUGGGUCGUAAACUUCUUUUAUAUGGGAAUAAAGUUUUCCACGUGUGGAAUUUUGUAUGUACCAUAUGAAUAAGGAUCGGCUAACUCCGUGCCAGCAGCCGCGGUAAUACGGAGGAUCCGAGCGUUAUCCGGGUUUAUUGGGUUUAAAGGGAGCGUAGGUGGAUUGUUAAGUCAGUUGUGAAAGUUUGCGGCUCAACCGUAAAAUUGCAGUUGAAACUGGCAGUCUUGAGUACAGUAGAGGUGGGCGGAAUUCGUGGUGUAGCGGUGAAAUGCUUAGAUAUCACGAAGAACUCCGAUUGCGAAGGCAGCUCACUAGACUGUUACUGACACUGAUGCUCGAAAGUGUGGGUAUCAA